UCUCCUGGAAACGGGUGGUAAUGCCGGAUGUUCCACAUGAGCGCAUGCGAGUGUGGGAAAGGCUUUUUGCGGCAUGGGAUGGGGUCGCGUCCUAUCAGCUUGUUGGUGGGGUAACGGCCUACCAAGGCGUUGACGGGUAGCCGGCCUGAGAGGGCGACCGGCCACAUUGGGACUGAGAUACGGCCCAGACUCCUACGGGAGGCAGCAGUGGGGAAUAUUGCACAAUGGGCGCAAGCCUGAUGCAGCGACGCCGCGUGCGGGACGGAGGCCUUCGGGUUGUAAACCGCUUUUGUUCAAGGGCAAGGCACGGUUUCGGCCGUGUUGAGUGGAUUGUUCGAAUAAGCACCGGCUAACUACGUGCCAGCAGCCGCGGUAAUACGUAGGGUGCAAGCGUUAUCCGGAUUUAUUGGGCGUAAAGGGCUCGUAGGCGGUUCGUCGCGUCCGGUGUGAAAGUCCAUCGCUUAACGGUGGAUCCGCGCCGGGUACGGGCGGGCUUGAGUGCGGUAGGGGAGACUGGAAUUCCCGGUGUAACGGUGGAAUGUGUAGAUAUCGGGAGACACCA
rnacentral:rRNA from 1 species